rnacentral:rRNA from 1 species
AGAGUUUGAUCCUGGCUCAGGACGAACGCUGGCGGCGUGCUUAACACAUGCAAGUCGAACGAGGUGCAGAUGGAAGCUUGCUUUUGUCUGUACCGAGUGGCGAACGGGUGAGUAACGCGUGAGGAACCUGUCUCAUACAGGGGGAUAACAGCUGGAAACAGCUGCUAAUACCGCAUAAGACCACAGCACCGCAUGGUGGAGAGGUCAAAGGAGCAAUCCGGUAUGAGGUGGACUCGCGUCCGAUUAGAUAGUUGGUGAGGUAACGGCCCACCAAGUCAACGAUCGGUAGCCGACCUGAGAGGGUGAUCGGCCACAUUGGAACUGAGAUACGGUCCAGACUCCUACGGGAGGCAGCAGUGGGGAAUAUUGGGCAAUGGGCGCAAGCCUGGCCCAGCAACGCCGCGUGAGGGAAGAAGGUUUUCGGAUUGUAAACCUCUGUCCUUGAUGAAAAGAAGAAGAUGGUAAUCAAGGAGGAAGCCCCGGCUAACUACGUGCCAGCAGCCGCGGUAAUACGUAGGGGGCGAGCGUUGUCCGGAAUGAUUGGGCGUAAAGGGCGCGUAGGCGGCCAUUUAAGUCUGGAGUGAAAGUCCUGUUUUUAAGAUGGGAACUGCUUUGGAUACUGGAUGGCUUGAGUGCAGGAGAGGUUAUCGGAAUUCCCGGUGUAGCGGUGAAAUGCGUAGAGAUCGGGAGGAACACCAGUGGCGAAGGCGGGUAACUGGACUGCAACUGACGCUGAGGCGCGAAAGUGUGGGGAGCAAACAGGAUUAGAUACCCUGGUAGUCCACACUGUAAACGAUGAAUGCUAGGUGUAGGAGGUAUCGACCCCUUCUGUGCCGGAGUAAACACAAUAAGCAUUCCGCCUGGGGAGUACGGCCGCAAGGUUGAAACUCAAAGGAAUUGACGGGGGCCCGCACAAGCAGCGGAGCAUGUGGUUUAAUUCGACGCAACGCGAAGAACCUUACCAGGUCUUGACAUCCAGUAAAAGCUGUAGAGAUACAGUGUGAGCUUGCCCAUACUGAGACAGGUGGUGCAUGGUUGUCGUCAGCUCGUGUCGUGAGAUGUUGGGUUAAGUCCCGCAACGAGCGCAACCCUUACUGAUAGUUACUAACGUGUAAAGGCGAGGACUCUAUCAGGACUGCCGGGGACAACUCGGAGGAAGGUGGGGACGACGUCAAAUCAUCAUGCCCCUUAUGACCUGGGCUACACACGUGCUACAAUGGCCGUUACAGAGAGGAGCAAAGCCGUAAGGCCGAGCAGAUCUCAAAAAAGCGGUCUCAGUCCGGAUUGUAGGCUGAAACUCGCCUACAUGAAGCUGGAGUUGCUAGUAAUCGCGAAUCAGCAUGUCGCGGUGAAUACGUUCCCGGGCCUUGUACACACCGCCCGUCACACCAUGAGAGUUGGCAAUACCCAAAGUGCGUGAUCUGACUCGCAAGAGAGGAAGCGCCCUAAGGUAGGGUCAGCGAUUGGGGUGAAGUCGUAACAAGGUA